rnacentral:rRNA from 1 species
AACGUAGGAGACAAACGUUAUCCGGAGUUACUGGGCGUAAAGGGCGUGCAGGCGGUCUGUUAAGUUCGGCGUGAAAGCGCCUGGCUAAACCGGGCGAGGUCGUCGGAGACUGGCAGACUAGAGGGUGAUAGAGGCGGGUGGAAUUCCGGGUGUAGUGGUGAAAUGCGUAGAGAUCCGGAGGAACACCAGUGGCGAAGGCGGCUCUCUGGGACGGUACUGACGCUGAGACGCGAAAGCGUGGGGAGCGAACAGG